rnacentral:rRNA from 1 species
CCUACGGGGGGCAGCAGUGGGGAAUAUUGCCCAAUGGGGGAAACCCUGAGGCAGCAACGCCGCGUGGAGGAAGAAGGUCUUUACGAUCGUAAACUUCUUUUGUGAGGGAAGAGGAAGGACGGUACCUCAUGAAUAAGUCACGGCUAACUACGUGCCAGCAGCCGCGGUAAUACGUAGGUGACGAGCGUUAUCCGGAAUUACUGGGCGUAAAGCGUACGCAGGCGGCAUGGUAAGUCUGACGUGAAAUCUCCUGGCUUAACUGGGAGAGGUCGUUGGAGACUGCUGUGCUUGAGACAAUGAGAGGGGUGCAGAAUUCCCGGUGUAGUGGUGGAAUGCGUAGAUAUCGGGAGGAAUACCAGAGGCGAAAGCGGCACCCUGGCAUUGGUCUGACGCUCAUGUACGAAAGCGUGGGUAGCAAACGGGAUUAGAUACCCCGGUAGUC